rnacentral:rRNA from 1 species
UACGUAGGGGGCGAGCGUUGUCCGGAUUUAUUGGGCGUAAAGAGCUCGUAGGCGGUUUGGCAAGUCGGGUGUGAAAACUCCGGGCUCAACUCGGAGACGCCACUCGAUACUGCCAUGACUCGAGUCCGGUAGGGGAGUGCGGAAUUCCUGGUGUAGCGGUGAAAUGCGCAGAUAUCGGGAGGAACACCAGUGGCGAAGGCGGCGAUCUGGGUCGAUACUGACGCUGAGGUGCGAAAGCGUGGGGAGCAAACAGG